CCUACGGGUGGCAGCAGUGGGGAAUAUUGGGCAAUGGGCGCAAGCCUGACCCAGCAACGCCGCGUGAAGGAAGAAGGCUUUCGGGUUGUAAACUUCUUUUCUCAGGGACGAAGAAAGUAACGGACCCGGAGGAAUAACCACCGGCUAACAACGUGCCAGCAGCCGCGGUAAAACGUAGGUGGCAAGCUUUAUCCGGAUUUCCUGGGUGUAAAGGGCGUGUGGGCGGGACGGCAAGUCAGAUGUGAAAACCCCGGGCCCAACCUGUGGCCUGCAUUUGAAACUGUAGUUCUUGAGUACUGGAGAGGCAGACGGAAGUCCUAGUGUAGCGGUGAAAUGCGUAGAUAUUAGGAGGAACACCAGUGGCGAAGGCGGUCUGCUGGACAGCAACUGACGCUGAGGCGCGAAAGCGUGGGGAGCAAACAGGAUUAGAUACCCGAGUAGUC
rnacentral:rRNA from 1 species